rnacentral:sRNA from 1 species
AAUUAACACUGAUUAACAAUACUUGAUUUUUCAUUCACAGUUUAAAACACAAGAUGGAUUCCCAAAACGCAAGCUAUAAUGCUGGGCAAGCAAAGGGCCAAGCUCAGGAAAAGGCUAGCAACAUGAUGGACAAGGCCAGUGAUGCUGCUCAUUCUGCUCAAGACUCCAUGCAACAGGGUGGACAACAAAUGAAAGAAAAGGCACAAGGAGCUGCUGAUUCUAUCAAGAGUGCUUUGAAUUCAAAAAAUUAAUGAAGCCAAAUGGAUAAUUAAUUAUGUUCGACUUCCCUUCCCUUCAAUAAAUCUUAUUUCUAUUCAUCUACAUAUGUUGUAGAAACAUAUUUUUUUAUUUGAGAUAAAUUAAUUUUAUUUAUAAUUGAUAAUAUA